rnacentral:lncRNA from 1 species
AAAGCUGAAAUACUCAUGCAAAAAGGGUAAUUCGAUUCCACGAAGAAUACGAAACCAAACUCAACUGGGGAAGAAAAUCUUCAACACAGGAGUAAAAAGAGAUAUAUUAUCUAUUACCGAGACGCUCAUUUUUGCCUAAGGAGCCCUUUCGGGUUUUCAACUUAGCGAGCUAUUCAGUUUUUUUAUUUUUUUUAGGCAAAGUAUUUCUUGACUGCAUCUGAA